CUGUCGGAUAUUUUCAGGGAUCAUUUCUAUAGUGUGUGACUGGAGAAGUGAGAUCGAAAGUGUAAAAAGACGCAAACCUCGAGGAGGGGUGAGAGUGUUCUCUUCUGAGCAUCAAGCCAGCCCGUGGUGCCUCUUUGAUCAGCUGCCGCCCGCCCUUGAUGACCAUUCCUCUUCUCUUCGGGGAAGGCUGGAGGGAGCGAACACAAACUGAGUGGU